GUACCCGCUGAACUUAAGCAUAUCAAUAAGCGGAGGAAAAGAAACCAACAGGGAUUGCCUCAGUAACGGCGAGUGAAGCGGCAACAGCUCAAAUUUGAAAUCUGGCGUCUUCGGCGUCCGAGUUGUAAUUUGUAGAGGAUGCUAUUGAGUUGUCACCGGUCUAAGUUCCUUGGAACAGGACGUCGCAGAGGGUGAGAAUCCCGUAUGUGACCGGCCAGACGCUCUCUGUAUAGCUCCUUCGACGAGUCGGGUUGUUUGGGAAUGCAGCCCUAAAUGGGAGGUAAAUUUCUUCUAAAGCUAAAUACCGGCCAGAGACCGAUAGCGCACAAGUAGAGUGAUCGAAAGAUGAAAAGCACUUUGGAAAGAGAGUUAAAAAGCACGUGAAAUUGUUGAAAGGGAAGCGCUUGCAAUCAGCCUCGACGGCGGCUGUUCGGCCUCUCUUCUGAGUGGUUUAUUCAGUCGCCGCCGGGCCAGCAUCAGUUCUGGCGGUCGGAUAAAGGCGUAGGGAAUGUAGCUCCUCUCGGGGAGUGUUAUAGCCCUGCGUGCAAUACGGCCUGCCGGGACUGAGGUCCGCGCUUCGGCUAGGAUGCUGGCGAAAUGGUUGUAAGCGGCCCGUCUUGAAACACGGACCAAGGAGUCUAACAUCUAUGCGAGUGUUUGGGUGUCAAACCCGUACGCGUAAUGAAAGUGAACGGAGGUGGGAACCGCAAGGUGCACCAUCGACCGAUCCUGAUGUCUUCGGAUGGAUUUGAGUAAGAGCAUAGCUGUUGGGACCCGAAAGAUGGUGAACUAUGCCUGAAUAGGGUGAAGCCAGAGGAAACUCUGGUGGAGGCUCGCAGCGGUUCUGACGUGCAAAUCGAUCGUCAAAUUUGGGUAUAGGGGCGAAAGACUAAUCGAACCAUCUAGUAGCUGGUUCCUGCCGAAGUUUCCCUCAGGAU
rnacentral:rRNA from 1 species